AGCGGUGGAGCAUGUGGUUUAAUUCGAAGCAACGCGAAGAACCUUACCAGGUCUUGACAUCCUUUGACCACUCUAGAGAUAGAGCUUCCCCUUCGGGGGCAAAGUGACAGGUGGUGCAUGGUUGUCGUCAGCUCGUGUCGUGAGAUGUUGGGUUAAGUCCCGCAACGAGCGCAACCCUUAUUGUUAGUUGCCAUCAUUCAGUUGGGCACUCUAGCAAGACUGCCGGUGACAAACCGGAGGAAGGUGGGGAUGACGUCAAAUCAUCAUGCCCCUUAUGACCUGGGCUACACACGUGCUACAAUGGGAAGUACAACGAGUUGCGAAGUCGCGAGGCUAAGCUAAUCUCUUAAAGCUUCUCUCAGUUCGGAUUGCAGGCUGCAACUCGCCUGCAUGAAGCCGGAAUCGCUAGUAAUCGCGGAUCAGCACGCCGCGGUGAAUACGUUCCCGGGCCUUGUACACACCGCCCGUCACACCACGAGAGUUUGGAACACCCGAAGUCGGUGAGG
rnacentral:rRNA from 1 species